ACAGUACAUAGUCACUGGGACAUACUAACACAUCAUGUAAUGGAAGAGAACGUUGUUGCCUAGUUACGCACACUGUCACCGUAAACAAACUCUUUAUUGCAUUUCAGCUUCAUUCAUUGUUCCUUAUAUAAUUUACAUUAUAUAAUUUAAUUUACCAUUCCUUUGAAUUAUCUUUCCACAUUUCAUUUACACCUGUCUAAAAUUUGGUGAAGCAAACCGUCACAAAACUCCUCCUCCCUCGCCCAAGGCAAUAUAUACCUGAAAAAGUGUUCAUGGAUCCACACUUUGAAAAUCUACCGGAAAUAGUAGACCAUCUACUGGAAAUAGUAGACCGGAAAUAGUAGACCAUCCAGGACUGAUAGUAGGCAAACUGGGCUGCAGCAGUGGCUUGCCAAAGUUGGAUUGGAAGAACUCGAGUGGCCUGCACAGAACCCUGACCACAAGAGACAGGCAGAACACAUGCUCACACUGUAGGACACAGGGCUCAGCCAAGUCAUCCAGACACACGGGACACUUCAGGCCAAAGCUAAGGCUUACUUUAUAGCAUCCAGAUGUUUGAGGCAGACAGGACUGCAGAGGGAGCUGUAAGUUGGACUGAACGCACUCUGCAAGCAGGGCUGCAGCAAUUCAACUCUGCCCAGAAAGACUAAGCCCUCAGAAACC